UUGGUGAGGAUUUGGCGCAUCGCUCCAGAUUCCAUACAUUGCUGGAGUAAAUGAAAACAUGUAUAGCUAGUUAGAAAACCAUUCGGCAGGACCUACUAACGCGGGUCACAUACUUCCCCCGCGAUCCAGUUCUACUCAUAUACUGCUCAUACCUAACAGAAACGAAUGCUUGCUUCCGUGACAGGAUGUGCACAGGAAUCUUCCCACAGUGGCAUUGCGGGUGACAGUCACACCGUCCGCACCCAAGCAGUUUGUUCACAAUACAGCGAAUAGUGCUCUCCCACAGGGAGUGAAGAAUCCUCAUUUGGAAAGACAGGCCUGCGGCGGAGAUGACCGGCAUACCACACCCUCCCUGCCUCUUUUGCUCCCCGACCCUGGGGCAGUCAGGGCUACAUGACCCUGUCCCCCUGAGUUGGCCACGGUCCAAAAACUGAAACCCAGGGAGGUACUGUCAAUCAAUACAAGUUGGCACAAAGAGAAAGACCUAUUUACCAUCUUUGGACUAGGGCAUUCUUCCAGAAACUGAUGUGACCCAAGGGACAAUUGCAAAUGGAAACCAAAGUGCAGAAGACAAGAAAACUGAGGCAUGGAGAGUUAUCUAAGGUCACACUGUGUGUGAGGUGCAAGUGGUCACAGACAGCUCCUUGGGGUCCUCACACACUCACACGGAGCGCGGAACGCAGUAGAAUGUGGUUCUCUACACCAGGACACGGAGACCCAGCUGGCCUUGGCCGAGGCCACUGGAGCAGCUGUUUGCGUGAACUGACACCCAGAGACCAGGCUGGCCCAGGAGCAUCCCAGUGGAUGACAGGGGCCAGGUGGUGACUGAGAACAGACCCCUCUUUCCCCCAUGCUUCGGUAUCCCCAAGCAAAAUCAACAAACAACGUAAAGGAGAAGAGCUAAAAAACAUGUCAGAAUGAAUGAAAUUUCACUAAGAUUAGGUUCUGCCACUCUAGUUAGAAAAACACAGUAGAUUAUAUUUCUUGCAACUAUUUCUACUUAAUUUUCCUUUCCCUGUUUGGUUCUGGGAGGGGAAAACACAGCCAGACUUGACAUCUGCCCAGGCCUUUACCUGGAAAGUGAGUCCCAAUGUCUCUGCUCUCAGAUGCCUGACCUGUGCUGCCCUGGGGCCUGGGUCAUGGGUGGGGGCAGACAGGGCACAGGUGCUCUUCUUGUGGUCCCCCCAGAUCUCACAACAGCAUGUGAGAUAAUUCAGUCCGGGCAGUGGUGGGAGUGGUAAGGAGUGGCCUGGGCUGGUCACAUUUUCUUCCGGAUCUGUUGUUUACAGAAUA